GGCUAAAACUUAAAGGAAUUGACGGGGACCCGCACAAGCGGUGGAGCAUGUGGUUUAAUUCGAAGAUACGCGAAAAACCUUACCAGGUCUUGACAUACCAAUGAUCGCUUUUGUAAUGAAAGCUUUUCUUCGGAACAUUGGAUACAGGUGGUGCAUGGUCGUCGUCAGCUCGUGUCGUGAGAUGUUGGGUUAAGUCCCGCAACGAGCGCAACCCUUGUUAUUAGUUGCCAGCAUUUAGUUGGGCACUCUAAUGAGACUGCCGGUGAUAAACCGGAGGAAGGUGGGGACGACGUCAGAUCAUCAUGCCCCUUAUGACCUGGGCAACACACGUGCUACAAUGGGAAGUACAACGAGUCGCAAACCGGCGACGGUAAGCUAAUCUCUUAAAACUUCUCUCAGUUCGGACUGGAGUCUGCAACUCGACUCCACGAAGGCGGAAUCGCUAGUAAUCGCGAAUCAGCAUGUCGCGGUGAAUACGUUCCCGGGUCUUGUACACACCGCCCGUCAAAUCAUGGGAGUCGGAAGUACCCAAAGUCGCUUGGCUAACUUUUAGAGGCCGGUGCCUAAGGUAAAAUCGAUGACUGGGAUUAAGUCGUAACAAGGUAGCCGUAGGAGAACCUGCGGCUGGAUCACCUCCUUUCUAAGGA
rnacentral:rRNA from 1 species